CUCGACUCCAUUUUCAACACCUGCAUAUGUUAGCACACUGCAAUGUUUAACUACUGUAUAUAUUUUCAUUAGGAAAGGUGCCACUGCAAUGUUUAACUACUGUAUAUGUUUUCAUUAGGGGAAAUGUGACAUAAUCUGACAAGACUGAACAAGAAAAAGGUUUGGUGCUAGAAUAUGAAACCAUGUUUGUUUAAGUAGCUAGCUAUAUAGACUAACCGCUCCUUAUGAGUUAUGAUCAGUUAUCUAAUUGGACUGAUCAUGUACAUCUUAUCUCAUUUUACAUAUUCCCAGAAUUGCAAGUGUUCAGCUCAUUCUGAAUGUGAAGUUUCUUCAAGUAUUAAUAUGAUAAUAAUCGUGUUCACAGUUUAAUAUUCAUAAAUAUUUAAUGAAUAUUUUAAUAGUUUUAGCAAAGAUUAUUGGUUUUUCAUGAACCCACAAGCAAUUAAUUGUUGGAUCCAUCCGAGAUAAGUCCCAAAUCUUUGAACAAAAAAAUAUAUGUGUUCAAAUUUUGAGAAUGAAAUCAACUUUGUUAGAUGAUACUUUAUUUUCUAAAAUAUUUUUCGGUGCAAAUUAAUUAACAAGCCCCGAAACAGAUACCAAUUGACACUAAGUAGAAACAAAACAAAAAGUAUUCAUUUUAUUGUUCAACUUAUGCAAAACAUUAAUGUUCCAGAAGAGGAUUGUUGAGUGUCACAAAGUGUGGAUUUUGACUCAUAAAAGUGUGACCCAUUCAGCUGUUUAAGUUGACUUAGGUUUCUAUAUUAGGAUAUGAUAUGAUCCAAUACUCAAACUAUCCUGAUCAUAGAAUAUUAAGAAAAAGAUGCCAUAAACAUCGUGAUGUGGUCAUCAUGCAAGCUAACUCACCAUAGCAUGAUCAUAAGGAAAAAAAUGUUAAGAUCAUGGCGAAAACAUAUGCAGUAGAGGUCAGAAGGUAGUUUCUUACGAUGAUGCGGUCAUCAUGCAAGCUACUCCAAGCAACUGUAGUCGUUGCGCUUGUCCAUCAAUCAAAUGCAGAGUGUCUGGGCCUGUACUCCUUGGCAACCUAUACAUCAAACAAGCUCCACAUCAAACUGACGAAUUACUGAGCUCAUCGAUAUUUGUUCAUAAGUUUCAGUAUGGUGAAAAUUCUAUCUGCAAAAAGGCGUGGUUUUGUAUUGAGAAGAGUCAUAUGCAUUAAACCUAUGGACUCUGCAUCCCAGAGGAUGGCAACUUAAGUUCACUCGAAAUAUGCAUAAAUAUAGAUCACCACGCAUAGGAGUGAAUCAAUUUUACUGAAGUACCUCCGGCGAUCCGUCUUCAUUAUAAAUAGAGCUAUCUGGUUGCUUUGAAGACUCAUCCUCAGUACAAAUGACUGGAAAUUCAGCUACUGGCAUCAGUAAAACUCUAUUUGCUUCAGCAUUAUACGACGAUAUUUUCCCAACCUACAAGCAGAAGGGAACAUCAACUUCACAAUCAGAAGUACAUAAUAUGAUGGAGACAACUUAUACCCGAUAGGAGGAAACUUCAGGGUCCAGGUUGAUGAUAACUCAAGCAGCCGGUAUGCAAUCACAAGACCUUCCUGCCAAAUUAAAAAACUGUUUUUCUAAAUACUAAAAUUGUGGUCACCCAAAUCAAUACAUCAACCACCAUCCAAUGUCCGGAGUUUUGGGUAGUGUAGAUUGUCAGCUGCUUUGUUUGAGUCUCAUUAGUCUAAAGUUAACAGCAGAUAUCAGUGCAACAGAUACUGAAGGCUACAGAUGCAUUAAAAAACAAGAACAAACCUUGGGCAGGCCAGAAGUUCUAAGUAUGGAAGAAAUCAUGUUGGGAGUGUCAAUUCCGAAAGGACCCUACAAUGCGCGAUCUAAAUUUAUUUGAGACACCAAUGCAGACUCCGAACAUCGGCUGGAAUUUUUUUUUUAGGUUGUUGAUAAAUAAGAAAUCCUACAUUUCAUCUCACUUCCUUAGUUUUCCUGAAUUUUGAUGAAACCAAGUUUAAGAACCCUACCAAAAGAAGUGUUUGAAGAGUUAAAACCUAAGCCUAAAACAAUACUUUUAUAACUAAGUUCCAACUAAAAGCCCCAAAGACAAGCUUUUGGUGAAAGAGCAGAAAAAAGGUCACUUUUUGGAGUGUUUAGAAGAAGACUUUUUCCUUGGGAUGCAUUUUCCUUUUACAGCCUUCAAUUCCUCCUCUUCUUCUUCUUCUGUUGCUACUUCUCUUAGCCCUGCCUUUGAGCUCCUACAUAUUGAAGUACUUUAAAUACACAUUCAAAUAUUAAAGCCUGAUGACAAGUCUGUCUAUUCUUACUUUUCUUCAACUUAGACAGACCUUUUUCACCUAAAAUAAGAAAGUUGAGACAAACUUUUACCAAUGUAAUAACAAGUUUUUAAAACUAUUCUACUAAAAUGAAUGACCUUACAUUGACAAAAUAGUAAUCCAUCAACUCCACUUUAUGUGGACAAUUACUAUUUGCAUAGUCAUAGGACUUUUUAUCUUUUCCUUGCCAUUUUUCUUAAUAUAGUUUAACUAUUUUGAAUUAUUAAUUAGUGUGACUGAUAUGUUAUUUAUGUCAUUUCUAAAUAUAUGAUGAUAACCGAGUAUACUAACCAUGGAGACUAAUGAUCCAUCUGCAAGUGGCAGGAAGAGGGAUAGCGGUGAUCUUAGUUACAACUUCAGAUACAAGAAACAAUCUUUUUCAAUUUACUCACAUUGCAAAGCAGCUUAUUAAAUAAAAGGUUUAUAAAACUGUGACAACUCGAAACUAUCAAAAGUUGCUUAACUUCUUCUACUCAUUUGUUUAAAGAUAAAUUUUUUCCCUAACAAAUUAAGAACAGUACUAAAAUCAUUUAAGAAGACAAAAAGCAUGAAUUCAUGUUAACACUGAAAAUAAUAACCUAGAAUGCCACUGGUCCACAUCAUAAUUGUCCGAUGAUACUAUGUCCGGAGAAUUUUGAUGUGUGGAUGCUGAAAAAGCCUAUGGUCUCUCAAAAGAUUAAAAAGAUUGCUGAAUUUCGAAGUGAUCUUUUCCCUGUCUCUCCAUCCAUAAGCUUCCAACGCUAGGGGUUCCUUUCUCUUGGUCGGCCUCCCUUGGAGUGGAAGGCUGCCGAGCGUUAUGGGACGUGGGAAAAAUCUUCUUCUGUUUCUGAUUACUCUGAAAAAACGAAGCUUUGGUUGACGCAAUCCUAUGUGACCCACCUCUUUAGUACUACAUGAUGAACUUAAUUUCUUUUCUGCAGCAAAGCUUCUUAGAAGAGUUGGAGAAGCCUGUUGCACUGUUGGCCUUUGAAGAUGUAUCCAACUGCCCUAUUGGAGAGCUUCUGGAUGUAUCACAGCGGCAAAAGACCGCUAGUAGCUUCAUGGUAUGAAAUGUUAUUUUUUUAUGAUUAAUCUUUGAUUAAAAGCUUCCAAAGCCUUUUGUAGAUGUUAAUAUGGGCACAAAAUCAGCUUGGUGAAAAAGCCAUGUAUCCGGGCAUAAAAGAUUUAUCGACUGCUAAACUGGAAGAUCCUCCUGUUAUAAGGAUAACCAAAACUUGACCAACUGCUUGAAGAUGAUGUAUCGUUCUUCUUUUUGACCUAUAGUUACUUUCAUUUUUAAUUAAAUUAUGGAUUCUUAGAUUAAUGUUGUGUUUGUUUAUCGAUCACAAUGUACAGUGAACUUGUUUAUCAAAAUAAACAAAGAAUUCAACUUCCAAAUAUCACAAUCUCGACCAAAAAACAAAAAUGAAAUCCCUCAAAUCCUUGCAUAACAAAAACCCUCAAAUCACUUCACUUGAUUUUAUACAAAUUGAUUUGUACCCAGUAUCUUAAACAUUAACCAUUUUACCUAUUUUAUCCAAGAAAAAAAUAUCCCACAAAACGCACCUACAUUUUCCUCGCAUACACAAAUUUAUGCAAGAAACCCCAUAACCAACAUACAAACAAGUGAAUCAUCAAACCAAUAAUCAAAAAAAUACACAAAAACAAGAUAAAACCCAGUACUCAAAUUAUUUUCCUACAGUAAAAAAAAACAGAGAUAAAAAACAGAGAAAGACUCACAAGUUUGGAGGAAUUAGAAAUCGAGUUGCGAGCAGAGAUAGCUGUAUGAUUCGAGAUCUGUCAGAUUAUGGAAGCUCCAACAUUCAAUUCUCUGAUCUGAUUAUUCUCCAACCCCGAUGAAUUGCUUGUCUCUUUACCACCGCACUCGAAACAGAGGAAUACCUAUUCUGGGUCGUCAUCAUAUCCUCCUUGUAAUGUAAAACGAUCGAAAAAUUAAACCCUUAUCAACUCUUCUUCAAGAAAACGAAGAAGAAGCCGUUACUCUGUAAUUCAAAGAGGGCGAUUUGAAUUUGAUUUGAUGUAGGUGUUCGUUAGGAGCGGAUAAGGGUUGGGCCCACUAAAUAAAAUCACCAAUAAGAUGAAGACACGUAGGUAAUGUGUAUUGUGGGUUUAGUAAUUUUCUUGUAAAGGAA
rnacentral:lncRNA from 1 species